rnacentral:rRNA from 1 species
AUGAAAGGUGCGAUUGAGAGUGCUCUCCCGAACACUAAGCACAGAUGGUGUAAAUGGCAUGUCCUCCGGGACGUUAAAGGAAAUAUUGGCCAUGUGUACAACAAGUCUUCUGGGUUCAAGAAGGAAUUCAACAAGCUAGUCAACGAUGUGAUGUGUGUCGAUGAGUUCGAAUCCAAAUGGUUGUCCCUCGUGAACAGGUUCAAUGUCAGUGAUAAUGAGUAUAUGGUCAGACUAUAUGAUAAGAGGGCCAUGUGGGCAAAGCCGUAUUUCAAGGGAAUUUUUUGUGCUGGAAUGACAAGCACACAGCGUAGCGAGAGUGCUAAUCAUAUGCUGAAACAGUACAUACCGAGGUCAUCCCCCAUGCACGUGUUUGUUCGCCAAUACAACAAAUUCCUUGGGUCAAGGAUGAGCGAUGAGGCAAGGGAAUUCCAUCUAAAUGCAAAUUUCCAAGACGAGCUUUAUAAGUGUGGGAGUUAUGUAGUGACACCUGUGGUGCACGGUGCACAAUACAUGGUUAGUGUCGCACCAUCCAAAGUAAAGGAUGCAACAAAGAGGAAGUGGCGAAAUGUCAAGAUCGAUGACGACGGGCAGUUCAUAAACUGCAAUUGUGGGAUGUUCGACCAUGUCGGUAUGUUGUGCAGACAUGCAUUGAAGGUAAUGAUUCAUGAAUAUUUUCUGAAGAUCCCCUCUAAAAAUAUUUUGAAGCGAUGGACUAUAUGGGCAACCAGAUCUUAUCCAGCAGGCAUGGACAUGAGCGAUAACGGGCCACAUACAGAUGACACUAGUUAUCUAAAGAACCUCCUGCAUAUUGCUGUCGAGGAUCUCAUGAAAGCGAGUUCACAUGAUAAGAAGAGUUUAGAAGCUGCGGUAGAAGGGAUGGGCAAACUCACAGCUGCAAUACGGAAGAACACUAGUAUGACUGAAACCAACCACCGUCUGGAACCGCCACACGUCGAGAGUUUCGUCAACAUCCACGUCAACACGGUUCUCGCUCCUGAACGGGUGAAAAAAGUGGAAGGACAGCGUCCGUGA